GCAGGGGGCUCAGUGGCAGAGCGCUCGCCUAGCAUGCGUGAGGCACUGGGUUCCAUCCUCAGCACCACA
rnacentral:tRNA from 1 species